rnacentral:lncRNA from 1 species
CCUCGUGAGAUCCGAUCUGGCAAAAAUCCACUCGAGCCGAAUACAGCUACAAUUAUAAUAACCCUAUUGUAUUUUUGUGUAUUUUUUGUUUCUUCUAAAUAAUGUCUGAAAUACUUCAUCCUUUAAAACAGUAUGCUUUACACCAAAGGCCAGCAGUGAAAUAAACAUUUCAUUUUUACUUUUGUACAUUAUAUUUUACUUUGAAAUUGUGUUUUUUUAUUUCUAAAAAUACUUUAUUCCAGUCAUUCAAUCAUCUACUGACAAAACACAGCAAAAUUAUUGUUUUUUAAUCCUUUGUUAAAAUAUUCACCAGAUUAAAGGAGUAGGAUAUAAUUUGAAUCAAAUAGUCAGAAGCCUUUGCUACUUAUAUUGUAAAUUGGUAGAUGUUUGAAAUGCAUAGUGCUGAACUGUUUGAUGUAGUACACAUACUUUUCCAAUAUGAACCCAAGGACAUUGACAUGACUCUGUUUACAGUUCGAUUGAAGUAAGUUAGAUAGUUUUCUUGUUCAAUAGAUUGUUGUUUUGCUUUAUUUUUCAGUUUUUAAUAUUAUGUGUUUGGAGCCAACCAUGAGAAUGUUCUUCAUUCAAGUCUUUGUCACCGACAAGUAUAUACCUCUGUCUGUAUCAAAGGUAUAUUUGAAUUUCUUUUUCGGCUCCUGAAACUAAUUGUUUGAUAUUUGGAAGAAGUUUGUUUUCGUCUGAUAUUUGGAAGUUUUGUCUGUGUUGAUGCCAUAAAGUGGAAGCACUUGAGGAUAUUUUCAGAAGAAUUCAGUCUCUGCUGUAAGUAUUCACUGUCUUUUUUGUGAUUUUAAGGUCAAGUAUUACCGGUACAUGUAAACCUGGUGCCAAAUUAUGCAUGUGUACUCUUGUCAUAUCCCAGUUCCGGUUUAUAAUUUUAACACUCUUCAUUUGCCUAUAGAAACUUAUCAUUUGAUGAAACAGCAAUUAUAACGUUAUAAAUUCCUAUUUUCUUUUUUAUGCUAUUGGUUUUUAAAGGCUGGCACUGGCAUCUUUUGAAAUGGCACGUAUUACUAGUAUCAUGUAUUUGAUGUCUGUAAAAGAGUUUAGUGCUUUCUUUAGGUAAUAUUUCUUCUAAGGAACUGAUUGUGUGUUUAGUGUUUCAGUUAUUCCUACCAUGUCCUGUGUCAUGAGUUCAGUUUCGAAGCAGGUAGGUCUUGUUUGCUGUCUACAUAGCUAUCUGUUGGUGUGUUGUGGUCGAUUGCUUGAUAAUAGAAGUGAAAUUCUUGGUAGCAGUUUCACUUCCACAUUGCGGUCGAUUAGUAUAUGCAACAUUACACACUACGUCUACCCCGUACGCCGAGUUGCAAUACUGACUGUGCCUUUAUUUGCUGAACAUAUUUUGGUUUCGCACCAUCUGUUGUUUACUCAUACCUUGAAAGCUUGCAGACAAUUUAUUCAUUCUCCUCUGCAUUCAGUUCGGAUCUAGUGCACGAAUGUUCCGGCAUGCCAGCACCACUCGUAAAUCACCUGAUGCCCAGUUUCGAUUGCAGCCCUGGCAGAAGUAAAGCAGUGUUGGAUGAUAAAUUACUAAUCAAGUCCAUUACACCAUCUCGUAAAACUUUUUAAGGAUAGUUCUCAUUGGUUGUCUAUUCGUCUUAUAAAUAGGUUGGCUUUUCGGGGUUUAUUUUUGAUUGCGAUACCGCAUGCAUUGUGUCAACAAUGCUGGAUACUGAUGGUCAUUGUAAUAAGCAGAAGUAUUUUCCUGUCUUACAAUUUAACAUAAGAUGUGCUAAAAUGUCGCAAAUUAACAAUAUUAAAUUAGAUGUAAAUAUGGCUGUUUGAAUUCCUUCCCUUGCAUUAGCAGUUAUUAACAGAACAUUGUGCAAAAAAUAGCACUCUUGUUUACAGAAUUUCUUAUUUCUUUUUUGGAAGAUGAUGCAAUGUUGUUUCUUUUUUGUUUGUCAAAUAAGGUAGGGAAAUACUCCAUCCUGAAUUCUACUUUAAAAUUGUUAAAGCUGAAAUUCUAGUCACUCAAACAUGUACCGAUAAAACACAGCAAAUUUAUCGUUUUUUAAUCCUUUGUUAAAAUAAUCACCAGAUUAAAGGAGGAGGAUGUAGUUUGAAUCAAAUGGUCAGAAUUAUUUUGCUAUUUAUAUUGCAAAUAGGUAGAUGUUUGAAAUUCAUAGUUUAGAAAUCUUUGAUUUAGUAGAAAUGCUUUAUCUACACAUUUAAACUUGGAAAACAUUGAAAUGACCGGGUGUGCAGUUCUGUUCAUUUAAGCUGAGAUAGUUUGUGUUAAAUAAAUUGUUGUUUUGUUUUAUUUUCAGUUUUUAGUUACUUAUUUGUUUGGGUUCAGACCAUAAGAAUGUUCUUCAUUCAAGUCUUUGCCACUGGUGGGCAUUACAGACAAUAGAAGCUAUUUAGUCUGUGCUUUUAUUAGCGCAAAUUCUUCAAAAGAUUCAGAUGGAGGGGAGGAAAUGUUUUUGGUUGCACCUACAUGGCCAACACAAGACUGGUUUCCUCGAUUACUUCAGAUAUUGAUAGACUGUCCACGAUUUCUUCCUGUGUCGCAGGAACACAUCAUCCACUAUAAUUACACAGACUUCACCUUGCAGCCUUUCGCAUAUUAAGGAAAAAUUACAAACAGAAGGAUUUUCAGAAGACGUAUCGACAUCAUUGUGUCAUCAUGGAAGGAUAGUACAAAAAUCGAAUAUCGGGGUUAUCUUGAAAAGUGGUUCCGUUUUUGUGCUGAACGAAAUGUUGAUUCCUUUUCAGCAAAUGUGAAAGUUGUUUUAAAUUUCUCUAUCACAGAGGAUUGAGUUACAGUUCGCUAAACUCGGCUCGUUCUGCUCUAAACUCAUGUCUAAGUUUCAUGUCAAAGGAUUCAGUUUCACUGGGAAACAGUUAUAUGGUGAAAAGAUUUAUGAGACGGUGUGUUUUGUUAAGACCGGCUCUUCCUAGGUAUCAGUUUACUUGGGGCGUACAGACUAUAUUGAAUUAUCUUAAGCAAAUUAAUAGAAAAGAUAAUUUGAAACUGUUGACAUAAAGUUUUAGGCUUGUUAGGACUACUGACAGCUCGAAGGGUUUAAUCUCUACAUUUUCUUAGACAAUCGAAUCACUGACCUUUUGAAACAAUCUAGACCAGGGAACCAUUUGCCCGAAAUGUAUUUCAAAGCAUAUGCUGAAAAUUCAUUAUGAGUUGUUCAUUGCUUAAAGCUAUAUCUUGAAAUGACAAGAGGUUUGAGAAAUAAUGAGACAUCGUUGUUUAUCAGUUAUAGUAAACGCUUAAAGCUGUAUCAAAAGAUACGUUCGCAAGAUGGAUCAAACAGAUACUAAAUAGUGCAGGAAUUGACACUAAUCUGUUUAAAUCUCACAGCAUAAAAUCUGCAGCAACAUCUCAUGCUUCACGAAAAACUAUUCCCAUAGGUACUAUACUGAGAACAGCAGGAUGGUCAAAAGAAUCAACUAUAGUAUUAUAAGAAGCCUAUCACAAAUGAUACUUCUUUUGCAGACGCGGUACUGAAUAAAUAAAUUUUGAUAUUAAGACCGUAAUGUGUAGUGAUAUGAGGCCAUAAGUGCUAAUGUGUCCUAUUUAAAGGUUAUUUUAUGUCUGUGAACAGUGAAUUAUAAGAUGUUUCAUGUUUAUAAACUGGUGCCGCCAUAAUAUUUACUUUAUGAAACA